rnacentral:misc_RNA from 1 species
AAAAAAAAAAAAAAAGCCUUAAUUCCAAACUAGUUGGAAUCAGCUAUAUAGAUCCUUUUUCUCUAUCCAGCUUUGUUUAAAACCAAUUCCGUAUCAAUAUCCAAAAAUUACUAAUAUUUUAAUAUUACUUUCCUCCACAUUAUUUUUGGUCCCCCCUUUUUCCUUCUCUCUGUUACUAACUUAUCACAUCUUCUUACUAGGGCAUUUGAUGUUCUAUGCUGGACAUGAUCAAGCCAUCUGAAUCGACCAUCUCUCAUUUUAUUCCUAAUGAGUGGUACAUAACGAGUGUGGUCAUUCCUAAUAUUAUUCAUUGUCAUGUUAUUAGACAUCCAUCUUAACAUCAACAUUUCUGUCACUCUUUUUUGUGGGUAUGUCAUACCUUAGAUGUCUAUGAUGUGAAUAUUGCCAUUUAACAUGCUAAAGUUAGGCCAUAUCUGAUGGUAUAUUUUGGGUUUUUUCCCCUGUGGUUAUCCUGAAAUGAUUAAACUAACUUCUCAAUUCAAUAUCAUUUCUCAUCCCUGAACCUUUCUGCAUUCUAUUAAGCAAGUGAUUCCUUAGUCUGUUAAGGUGCUUCUUCAUGGAAGAGAAAGUAAACAAUAUAAUUGUGGGAAAAAAACUACAAAAGCCAUACAGACAGUCAUGAUGGAAAAAUAGAAGUAGUCUAAAUGGAAUUUUUUUAAAGUUUUGUUUAAUGUAGAUACUUGAUAUAGCUUUUUUGCCACUGAACAAAAACAAGAGUUGUGAUUUUGAACAGCUUACAUCUGAACUUAACAUAUCAAUUAUUGAUGUCCCAAUCUUUCAUCCAGACAACUCUUAUUUUUAUCCCAUGGCAAAAUGAAGCUUCAUUCCCAAAUAGGGAGGCCUGGCAUGAAAUUGCCUGCCCUCAAGUUCAUGGUCAUGAUAUUAACUGUGUGUUGAUCAUCCGUGGAAAGGGGAAUAGUCAAUUUGUUAGUGGAGCAGAUAAGAGUUUCCAGAGUUUUUGAAGCUCCUUUGUGUUUUUUGAAGACAUUGAAUCAUGCCACUUCUCAUAGGUCUACUUCUCCUGAAGCCCUCCAAGUAGAUGUUCAGAUUUUGGGUGCGAAUAUGUCUGCUCUUGGUCUGUCACAAAAACCUAUUUACGUGCAGUCUGUGCAUGAGAUUCCGCACAGAAAUGGGAAUGAUGAUCUCGACACCCUUGCCUGAACCUCUCGUUGAAGAUCUGGCAUGCAAUACACUGUGGCCAGAGUCUCACAAACUUUAUGGUCAUGGAAAUGAGUUGUUUCUUUAUGCUGUGAUCAUGAGGGGAUUCAGGGAAGCUUGUGGCUUCAUCAUGCA